AACGAACGCUGGCGGCAGGCUUAACACAUGCAAGUCGAACGCGUGUAGCAAUACACGAGUGGCGCACGGGUGAGUAACGCGUGGAUAUCUGCCUUUUGGUUCGGAAUAACCCCGGGAAACUGGGGCUAAUACCGGAUGGUUCCUACGGGAUAAAGAUUUAUCGCCAAAAGAUGAGUCCGCGUACGAUUAGCUAGUUGGUGGGGUAAUGGCUCACCAAGGCGACGAACGUUAGCUGGUCUGAGAGGACGAUCAGCCACACUGGGACUGAGACACGGCCCAGACUCCUACGGGAGGCAGCAGUGGGGAAUAUUGGACAAUGGGGGCAACCCUGAUCCAGCCAUGCCGCGUGAGUGAUGAAGGCCUUCGGGUUGUAAAGCUCUUUUGGCGGGGACGAUGAUGACGGUACCCGCAGAAUAAGCCCCGGCUAACUUCGUGCCAGCAGCCGCCGUAACAC
rnacentral:rRNA from 1 species